UUUAUUGGAAUUCAUUGUUAUGAUGAGCAGACAUCAAGAAUUGAAGGCACACAUGCAUGUAAUGGACAAUCCACUCAAAUUUUUUAGAAUAAAGUGUUUGGAGUUCAUCUAGAUGAAACAUACUCGAACAAGUUUCAGGACAUUCUUCUGGAUGGUCUGGGCAGUCCAAAGAAUAGUCUAAACCAAAGAUUACCAGGGAGUUUGCCCAGUGAUCACUUGAUGAGCUAGACACAAAUUGAAGUGUUAGUGAUAUAAUGGAGAGAAAAAUACUCACUUUCUAAUCCAUUCAUAGAUGUUUCUCUCCUCAGCUUCAUGUUUAUUAUGUCCAAUAUGAGUCAUGACUUUUCUUUUGUACCAAUUGACAUUCAAACCAUGGACACCAGCAGCACUGAGCAUUUUACUUUCAUUUCUUCUUCAGUCUGAAUAUCUAAAAGAUAAUCUGAAUAAAUAUAGGGUAGACAAUUCAUUUACCUCUUGGAAUAUUUUUCAAUUUUACUUCAAAUGCUGAAAACAGUUCAAACAAAAUUACAAAUAACAUAGUAUGUUGAGUGGUUUUACCCUGUAAUUUCACUAAUUUAAGAUUUAAGUAAUUUGAGAUUUGAUAUUUUUACAACUUGUAAUUCAAGUUUUAUAACAAUUUUCACAGUAUGAAUUUAAUUUGCAAAGCAGAAGUUGUAAAUUUUGAUAUCCAUUGAUAUGUCAAAGUGAUUUGGAAGUCCCAACCAUUUUAAAAUUCUUGAAGUAUUUUACCCUUGAUAUCUUGAAUACUCAGAUAUCUCAGAAGUUUUUAUCAGUCCCAUUGUCCCAUUGUAGGAUAACGAGGUUUGACAACAUAGUUUGAAUUGAAAAUGUUUGGUUCCCACCGCACACACACUUAAAUUGCUUCCCAUGGGCCUGACCCCAUGAAUUAAAAAUGAUUUCACAGAUGACUGUAGACAAAUUAAAAAAAAAAGAAAGAAAGAAAAUGAAAACUACAUGCACGUUUCUGCACCUACUUAAGGUUGAAUUAAUUUAAUUAAUGUGCAUGUUUGCUUGCUCUUCUCUGUAUGAUAUAUCUUCAUGUUCUCUUUCCUAAUAAUCAAAUUCUUGUUUCAAAAUAAAAAUGCUUAAUUUAG